GGGUUGUGAGGUUAAGCGACUAAGCGUACACGGUGGAUGCCCUGGCAGUCAGAGGCGAUGAAGGACGUGCUAAUCUGCGAAAAGCGUCGGUAAGGUGAUAUGAACCGUUACAGCCGGCGAUGUCCGAAUGGGGAAACCCAGUGCAAUUCGUUGCACUAUCGUUAACUGAAUACAUAGGUUAACGAGGCGAACCGGGGGAACUGAAACAUCUAAGUACCCCGAGGAAAAGAAAUCAACCGAGAUUCCCCCAGUAGCGGCGAGCGAACGGGGAGCAGCCCAGAGUCUGAAUCAGCUUGUGUGUUAGUGGAACGGUCUGGAAAGUCCGACGGUACAGGGUGAUAGUCCCGUACACCAAAAUGCACAGGCUGUGAACUCGAAGAGUAGGGCGGGACACGUGGUAUCCUGUCUGAAUAUGGGGGGACCAUCCUCCAAGGCUAAAUACUCCUGACUGACCGAUAGUGAACCAGUACCGUGAGGGAAAGGCGAAAAGAACCCCGGCGAGGGGAGUGAAAAAGAACCUGAAACCGUGUACGUACAAGCAGUGGGAGCACCUUCGGGUGUGACUGCGUACCUUUUGUAUAAUGGGUCAGCGACUUAUAUUCUGUAGCAAGGUUAACCGUAUAGGGGAGCCGCAGGGAAACCGAGUCUUAACUGGGCGUUAAGUUGCAGGGUAUAGACCCGAAACCCGGUGAUCUAGCCAUGGGCAGGUUGAAGGUUGGGUAACACUAACUGGAGGACCGAACCGACUAAUGUUGAAAAAUUAGCGGAUGACUUGUGGCUGGGGGUGAAAGGCCAAUCAAACCGGGAGAUAGCUGGUUCUCCCCGAAAGCUAUUUAGGUAGCGCCUCGUGAAUUCAUCUUCGGGGGUAGAGCACUGUUUCGGCUAGGGGGUCAUCCCGACUUACCAACCCGAUGCAAACUACGAAUACCGAAGAAUGUUAUCACGGGAGACACACGGCGGGUGCUAACGUCCGUCGUGAAGAGGGAAACAACCCAGACCGCCAGCUAAGGUCCCAAAGUCAUGGUUAAGUGGGAAACGAUGUGGGAAGGCACAGACAGCCAGGAUGUUGGCUUAGAAGCAGCCAUCAUUUAAAGAAAGCGUAAUAGCUCACUGGUCGAGUCGGCCUGCGCGGAAGAUGUAACGGGGCUAAACCAUGCACCGAAGCUGCGGCAGCGACACUAUGUGUUGUUGGGUAGGGGAGCGUUCUGUAAGCCUGCGAAGGUGACCUGUGAGGGUUGCUGGAGGUAUCAGAAGUGCGAAUGCUGACAUAAGUAACGAUAAAGCGGGUGAAAAGCCCGCUCGCCGGAAGACCAAGGGUUCCUGUCCAACGUUAAUCGGGGCAGGGUGAGUCGACCCCUAAGGCGAGGCCGAAAGGCGUAGUCGAUGGGAAACAGGUUAAUAUUCCUGUACUUGGUGUUACUGCGAAGGGGGGACGGAGAAGGCUAUGUUAGCCGGGCGACGGUUGUCCCGGUUUAAGCAUGUAGGCUGGUUAUCCAGGCAAAUCCGGAUAAUCAAGGCUGAGGUGUGAUGACGAGGCACUACGGUGCUGAAGUAACAAAUGCCCUGCUUCCAGGAAAAGCCUCUAAGCAUCAGGUAACAUCAAAUCGUACCCCAAACCGACACAGGUGGUCAGGUAGAGAAUACCAAGGCGCUUGAGAGAACUCGGGUGAAGGAACUAGGCAAAAUGGUGCCGUAACUUCGGGAGAAGGCACGCUGGUGUGUAGGUGAAGCCCCUGCGGGUGGAGCUGAGACCAGUCGAAGAUACCAGCUGGCUGCAACUGUUUAUUAAAAACACAGCACUGUGCAAACACGAAAGUGGACGUAUACGGUGUGACGCCUGCCCGGUGCCGGAAGGUUAAUUGAUGGGGUUAUCCGUAAGGAGAAGCUCUUGAUCGAAGCCCCGGUAAACGGCGGCCGUAACUAUAACGGUCCUAAGGUAGCGAAAUUCCUUGUCGGGUAAGUUCCGACCUGCACGAAUGGCGUAAUGAUGGCCAGGCUGUCUCCACCCGAGACUCAGUGAAAUUGAACUCGCUGUGAAGAUGCAGUGUACCCGCGGCAAGACGGAAAGACCCCGUGAACCUUUACUAUAGCUUGACACUGAACAUUGAGCCUUGAUGUGUAGGAUAGGUGGGAGGCUUUGAAGCGUGGACGCCAGUCUGCGUGGAGCCAACCUUGAAAUACCACCCUUUAAUGUUUGAUGUUCUAACGUUGGCCCCUUACCGGGGUUGCGGACAGUGUCUGGUGGGUAGUUUGACUGGGGCGGUCUCCUCCCAAAGCGUAACGGAGGAGCACGAAGGUUAGCUAAUCCUGGUCGGACAUCAGGAGGUUAGUGCAAUGGCAUAAGCUAGCUUGACUGCGAGCGUGACGGCGCGAGCAGGUGCGAAAGCAGGUCAUAGUGAUCCGGUGGUUCUGAAUGGAAGGGCCAUCGCUCAACGGAUAAAAGGUACUCCGGGGAUAACAGGCUGAUACCGCCCAAGAGUUCAUAUCGACGGCGGUGUUUGGCACCUCGAUGUCGGCUCAUCACAUCCUGGGGCUGAAGUAGGUCCCAAGGGUAUGGCUGUUCGCCAUUUAAAGUGGUACGCGAGCUGGGUUUAGAACGUCGUGAGACAGUUCGGUCCCUAUCUGCCGUGGGCGCUGGAGAAUUGAGGGGGGCUGCUCCUAGUACGAGAGGACCGGAGUGGACGCAUCACUGGUGUUCGGGUUGUCAUGCCAAUGGCACUGCCCGGUAGCUAAAUGCGGAAGAGAUAAGUGCUGAAAGCAUCUAAGCACGAAACUUGCCCCGAGAUGAGUUCUCCCUGAGACUUUAAGUCUCCUGAAGGAACGUUAAAGACGAUGACGUUGAUAGGCCGGGUGUGUAAGCGCAGCGAUGCGUUGAGCUAACCGGUACUAAUGAACCGUGAGGCUUAACCUUACAACGCCGAAG
rnacentral:rRNA from 1 species